ACGAACGCUGGCGGCGUGCCUAAUACAUGCAAGUCGAACGAGAGCGACCGGUGCUUGCACUGGUCAAUCUAGUGGCGAACGGGUGAGUAACACGUGGGUAACCUGCCCAUCAGAGGGGGAUAACAUCCGGAAACGGAUGCUAAAACCGCAUAGGUCUUCGAGCCGCAUGGCUUGAAGAGGAAAAGAGGCGCAAGCUUCUGCUGAUGGAUGGACCCGCGGUGCAUUAGCUAGUUGGUGAGGUAACGGCUCACCAAGGCCGUGAUGCAUAGCCGACCUGAGAGGGUGAUCGGCCACAUUGGAACUGAGACACGGCCCAAACUCCUCCGGGAGGCAGCAGUAGGGAAUCUUUCGCAAUGGACGAAAGUCUGACGGAGCAACGCCGCGUGAGUGAAGAAGGUUUUCGGAUCGUACAACUCUGUUGUUAGAGAAGAACAAGUGCUAGAGUAACUGUUAGCGCCUUGACGGUAGCUAACCAGAAAGCCACGGCUAACUACGUG
rnacentral:rRNA from 1 species